CACACCUCAACAAUUUUUUAAAUCGUUUGUCAAGUUGAAAAAUCAUAAUACGUAAGAAGUUAUCCUAUCAAACAUCAUAAGGUUUAAUACUUAUAUACAUUUGAAGGCAAUGGUCACGUGUCUGGUCCUGUAUUAUAGGAAAAGAGAACCAUCUUAGCAUUUGACAGCUUUAAACAAGCAUUUUGGAGAUGUGUGAUGAAACAAACAUAUUAAAAGUUUUCAAGAAUAAUUUUAACCAGAUCCUCGUUAUUCGAGUGCGACUUAGAUCUCAAUAUUUUCCUA
rnacentral:lncRNA from 1 species